GCCGCGGGGCGAGCUGGAGGGCUGGGAGCGCCGCCCGUCGGCUGCCGGCCCCGGAGCCCGCCCCCUCCCCGCCCCUCCCCGCGCCCGGCGCCCGCGGGCCGCCCCUCCGCUUCCAUGCCCUCCCCAUGCACCCACACCUCUCUGUGGCUUCGGCGGAAUCCAAGCCCAAACCGAGAAACCACGAAAUGAGUGAAUGCAUAGAUUGGAGGGAUGGCGAGAUGGGUGAAUAGAGGGACGGGCCAGCGAAGCCCUGUUAUUUCCUAACUGGGGCGAGGGCUCUGUGUCUGGGGAUGAGGACCUGUGUCAGCGUACGGGUGGGCGUGUCGGCGUGUGCACAUGCGGACGUGUGUUGGUGUACACAUACGUGAGUAUGGGCAGGUGGAACCGUGUGGGUGCCCGUGCGCGCUCGCAACGCCAGGAGCUGCGAGGAGGGAGCGAUCCUUCGUUUCUUACCCAGCACCACGACGGGCCCCGGAGAGGGAGAGAGCACAAGCAGGGGGAGCAGCAGAGGGAGAGGGACAAGCAGACUCCCCACUGAGCAGGGAGCCCAAUGCAGAACUCAAUCCCAGGACCCUGGGAUCAUGACUGAGCCGAAAACAGACGCUUAACCGACUGUUUAGCCACCCAGGUGCCCCGACAUUUAUUGCAGAUAAAGUCAUCUUCUUAAAAGCUAAAAAAGUAACACUGAGUAAAGUUUUGAAGGGACAACUUUAACCAGGAGAUACAAAUUUCAUAAUUGGUGUAAUAACUGCCUUCUGGGAUAUGAAUGCUCAUAGCCUAAAGUAUUAAAAAGAUUGUCUUCUUAAAUAGGUUAAAAUUAGCUGUGUAAUAUCUGUUUUCAUUGUUGAUUUCCUUAACAAAUAAUUUUGUCUAAGGGCAAUAUUCAUCCUGGACCUGUGUGAAUAGUCCAAAUUUGAAAAUCUUAAUUAUCUAUUAUUACGUUAAGUCAGGAUUGGCAAACACUUUCUGUGCCACACAGUAAAUAUUUUAGGCUUUGUGGUCAUGCCCUUUCUGUUGCAACUUCUCAAGCUGCCAUUGUAGAGCAAAACAGACAACACAUAAAUAGCCAACAGCCGACAUAUAAACAAAUGGGCAUGGCUGAGUUCCAGUAAAACUUUAUUUACAAAAACAGGCACUGGGCCAGAUUUGGCCCAUAAGAUGUACUAGACCAGAUGGAUAGUGAUGAUGGUGGCGCCACAUUGUGAAUGUAUUUAAUGCACAGAACCAUGCACUUAAAAAUGGUUACAAUGCAAAUUUUAUGUUAUAUAUAUUUUACCACAAUAAAAAAAUGAUUUUGCUAGGCAAUAUUCAGAUUUUCAAUUUAACUGAUUCUGUAAUUACCCACUGAGUUGGAAUACCAUUACUUACUUAUUUCUAAAAUGUUUGAUAUUUAGGUCAUUUCUAAUUUCUCAUCAGUAUAGAUAAUGCUAAAAGGAGUACCUCUUUGUCUAAAUGCUUUUCUUCUCAAGAAUAAUAUCCCUCAAAAUGAUUCCUAAGCAAAAAGUAUGCAUACUUUUAAGGCUAAUGGCAUGUGUUCUCAUAUUGCUUUGUAAAACAAUGAUGCCAAUUUUACAACCACCAAUAAUGCGUAAUGUAAUAAUUUUGCUAUCACUGUAACUUGCUUGGUAGUGUUAUCAUUAAACAAAUUGUGUGGUGGUGGGGAAUGAUUUCUUUAGCAAGUUGUAGGUACAUAAAAUAUUCAUUAUAGUAUUCCACAUAUUUCUGUGUAUGGUAUUGUAAUGAUUUUUGUGUCAAUUUGUAUUAAUGCAAUAAAAAUGAUAUAAUAAUUUUUUAGAAGAUACUUUAUCAGCUUCUGUUCUAAAUCAAGAAACCAGAAACAUGAACAAGAAACACUGUUAUACUCCAGCAUUUCUGUAAAGACCAACUGGACAAAACAGAUGGUGAAACAGAAACAAUUUUUGUAUGACACUUUUAAAAAACUAAUAUGAGAUUAAUUCAAUUUUAGUAUUUUAGCAUCGAUUACAUUAUUUUAUAUUCUGGAUCCCCGAGAGCCUCAUUUUACAGGACGUAUGCACAAUGGAUUACUCAAGAUCCAUGCAUUCAAUUUAUUGCAAGUUGCAAAUAGUUGUCUCUCACUAGGUUGUAGAAAUUGGGUCAGUUUGGUGAGCUGCCCUACAGUUUCAUCUAGAGAAAUUGCUACAAGGAGGUUGUCAGCUUUUUGUUAAAAACAUGUUUCUGGGAGAGCAAUCUUUGCUCCUACAUGAAUGGAUUAUUUCCCUGACACAUCUUGCAUUCAACAGAAUAAUAGCUCCUCCUGGUUUAAGACACUGUUGGCCCCUAUUGGAUCUGGCUGGCAGAGAGACACAGAUGUUGGACAUGAUGGACAAUUAUAUGAUAUUCACUUUAUAGAAUAUUUUGAAUUAACAUUCAGCAAAUAUUCAUUCCCCUCCUUUCCCACUGUGGGAGAAAUUUUCUUCCCUGUCCCACUGAUGUUUCCUCUGGCCAGUGGGAUGUUAGUGGACAUAAUGCAAUCAAAGGUUUGAAAUGGGCUUGUGUGGUGGUGCUUGCCCUCUUGCAUUUCUGCUAUAGCAUGAGAAAGACAUGCUCCAGUUGGCCUGCAAGGGACUGAGAGUCAUGGGGAGCAGACCUGAACCCCAUCAGCACCUUGGAGCCAAGCCAAGUCUUGAUCAGCCAACCCCUAGCCCAGCUGCGCAUGCAUGACAAUAAAAGCUAUUAAGUUUGGGGAUGAUAUGUCAAGCAGCAUUAUUGUAAUAGUAACUAAUAGAUACAAUCUAUAAGCAAAAUUAUACAUGAAAGUCAUUUUGGAUAAAGCACAUUUAUCUUUAUGCAAGUGUAAUUCCCUUUGUUACAUAGAAAUCUCAGUUACAAGUAUUCAUUCCCAUCUCUAUCUACCUAUCUAUAUAUAUAGAUAUAGAUAUGUAUAGAUAGAAAAUAUUUAUAUAUAUAUAUUUUUAAGUAAGCUCUACACCCAACAUGGGACUUGAACUCUCAACCCUGAGAUCAGGAGUUGCAUGUUCUAAUGACUGAGCCAGCCAGGUGCCCCCGUAUCUCUAUAUAUUAUACCAUGUGGGGAAGAAUCUUUUCUCUGCUACAAUCCUUUCAUAAGCAAUACAAUCUUUAUUAAAGGAUAUAUGGCCCUAAGAAAGAGACAUAAGACAUAUUUUAUUCUCAAAAUUUUAGCCUGCAAUCAAGAAAACACCUUUUUGUUUGUUUGUUUGUUUCUUAAGUAAUCUCCACACCCAACAUGGGGCUUGAACUCACUACACUGAGAUCAAGAGUUGCAUGCUCUACCAACUGAGCCAGCCAGGCACCCCAAGGAAACAGUUUAAAUUAGAUAACCUAUCAUUUCAUGGCAAGAGUGAGAGAAAAUAGACCUAACAUUUUAAUUUGAAAAUGUUAUUAAUCCUAAUAAUAAGUUGUGAGGACAGGAAAAUGUUAUCUUAAAAGUUAGAGGCAAAAUUCCUUCCAGGGAGAAAACUGAGUUUUGGAUGUGAUGGGUCCUACAUCGUGGAAGUAGGAGAAAAAGGAGGAGGUCCAUUCAGAAGAAGGAGAGAACCUGAAAGAAGCUGGGAUGAGAAUUGGCAGUAAGAAAUCUCCAAGGGCAAUAAAAGGGACUCUUGAGAACCAUGAUGUUUAAACAUCGAUUUUAAAUUUUUUAUCAUGCUGUCUCAUGAUGUAAUGCUCCCCUCAGUCUUAUACCUUGAGUGAAGAUCUCUUCUACACAAUUGUCUUGUGUUGGUGUUGUUUGGUGGAAACAGAAUGAGGACAUCAGUGUAGAGAGAAGAGAAAGGCCAUGUGCACAUAGGAGCUCCCUGCAAAAUUGGAAUCUGAGGAGGACAUAAUGAUGAGAAUCUGGGACAGGGUAUUAGACCCAAAUAUACACAACAGAGCCAUGGGUCAAUUUUAUUUGAACACCAAAGGGCAGCAGACCCUUUCAUCCUGAGGACUUGGAGAAGCAAGGUGAUUGACACUUCUAAUAAGAGGAUGCUCAUACCUAUAAAAAUGCGACUUCUAUUUCCACAAUGGUGAUUUCCAUACCACCAAUGUGCAUUGCACCACAAGUAGGCAGGGGGAUAGUUUGAAAUGCUUGUUGGAGAUCCUUCUGCUCUAGGAUUUUAUUAAUGACUGUCAACAUUUGCUUUCAUGUCCAAGUUCCUGAGAUGAAUUUCCACUCAACUAAGGUCCGUAUUUAUAACAAUUGCACACACAUUUAACAGGUCACAUGUGUAACUGCAAAAGACAACACAUUCCAGACUUACAUAUUUCAUUAUGAGUCAGUUAUGUAAGCACAAUCACCUCUGAUUUCAGGGAAAUAACCUAUUUAAAGAAUUUGACCUAAGAAUUUAGAUAAUUGACAAUGAUUGAUCGAUUUAUACUACUUUACAUUUAUAUUUCUACACACUCUACUUCCAAAUAACUUUUUUUCUCUUGUAACCCUUUUCCCCUUGCUCAAGCUCUUAUUUAUAAUUUCUUUGAUAAGAGAGAGCAUAUUACAUAUUGUUUCUAUAAUCCCUAGAUUAAAAUAACAUCUUUCUCCCAGAGGAGAACAGGUUUGCAUUUCCCAGUAGUGGGAAAAAUUGAGACCUGUCUACUUGUAGCUGAGGUAUGUUUAUAAGUCCCCCAUCAGGGACAGUUGUACAAAAAUCUUUCAGGAAUAAGUAAAAUCAGCCAACCAAUUGUUGCUUUUUAUAUAUCUCUUCACUUAGCCACAAGUCAGAUGAAGAAAUCUGUUAGCUCGAGCUCCCAGUUCCUUAGCACCCACAUGUCUGGUCUCCAUACACAAGAUGCACUCUACUAACUGGCAUGGCUCCUCUCUUUGAUUUCUGUUGGGAACAGCGUAUGUGCCAUUGACAGGGCAGUAGAAGUAGAAGGAAGGAGGCUAAGCUCUGGGCCUGGCUGGAGAAGUCAAGGGCACACAUGAUUAUCUGCAAGGUGAGGGAUUUGGUCUGGUAGGAGGGUAGCCAUGAGGGCUUGAGUAUAGUAACCUGGAGACAACAUGGCUUUUGUGUUUGAACAAAGGGAGACAGGACUAGGCUGAACAAAGAAGAGGAUGAGCUGCUAAGAAGGCUUGUUGGGGAAGCAACCAAUAGAACUGCAGAGAAUACUGGGUAAUUUCCUUAUUUCCGAUUCUGGUUAGGACUAAAAAAUAAAUAAAAGUAAAAAUACAAGGUCAGAGACCUAGAGGAAGAGGGUAGCACUGUAGAGGACGGUGCUAUCUAUACCUAGAUCCCCUGAGACCACUGUGUGUUGCUAGAUAAAAGCAGACUAAGAAAGAAGGACAAGUCGAUAUGGACCCUUAUGUACAACACAGUGGACCUUUGCUCUAGCUCAUCUGUCCACACAGAUUUCAGAUAAAUUGUUGGACAAAGUGGGUCAUUAGUGCUGCUCACCAAAUAUUUCCAGUUCCUUCCUCUGGUGGACACAUAACAGAAUUUCACUUCCUGGCCUCCUUAGAAUUGGUGGUCCUGUGACUAGUUCUGGCUGACGAGUGUGGGCAGCAGAGGCAUCCAUCACUUCUAGGCUGGAGCAUGCAGGACACUCCAGAGCACCCUCUCCUCUACCACAGUGAAUGGUAAUGUUCCAGAUAGUGUGAUUCUAUUAGCCUGAGUCCCACGGUGAGGAUAACACAAAGCAGAGACACAGCCAACCCACAGCGGCCAUGUAGGAUGAGUGAGAACUAAACCUUUAUUGUUUUAAGACAUGUGAAUUGGGAGUUGUUUAUUACAGUAGCAGAACCUAGCCCAGCCUAAGGAGAGGAAGGGGUCCUUCCAGACUUGCCUUUCCCAUCAACCUCUAGUUCCCAUCAUAGAGAGUUCUUUAGGCAAAUCUGUGUUCUAUUCCCUAAAUCAAUCCUGCCAUUUAAAUUUUGUGUCCACAACCAGCUAUAAUGAUCCAUACUUUCUACUUUUUUGGAGCCAAUCUGUUUCCAUUAUGCUGAGUGCUUAUUGCAUAGGUUAGUUGCAUCUCAUGAAGGCUUUAUGUCCUAAAGGCAAAAGGCCUCAUCCUGCACAGUCACAACUGCUCUUGAAAAUUUCUUAAAUCUCCCAUACAGUCCAAAAUAGCACCAUGCUUCAGAAAACCCAACAGAGGCACAUUUUGUUCUAGCUUUGGAACAGUCCAUUUCCUUUGUUAAGUACCAGAUGAUGCUGUUGGCUUGUGCGAAGGAUCAUGGACAAAAAAUACAGAUCUGGAAACUGUAGAAUUUCUCGGGGUUUGGAGAUGCUGAGACUGAGAGAUAGAAGGAGAGACCAGCUGUGGGACAGCAGAUUAACAACUGCUUUGUCAUCCUCACGCUGGGGUGUACCAUUUAGAGUGUUUUUGGCUGCAGGUAACAGAAAGCCGACUUAAUAGAUGACUAAACAAUAGAGGAUUGAGUGACUCAUGGAACAAGAAGUCUCAAGGUAGUGUGGUACCAGAGGUGUUGGUGAAUUCAGUGGCUCCAUGGUCUCAGCCUCUUGGUCCCAGUUUGACCUCUCUGCCAUUCUCUUGAUUUUCUGCCAUGGUCCCAAGAUGAACAUAGCAGUUCCAUGUGUCAUGAAAACAUCCAGAGGCAGGAAAAGGGAGGAGUAAAUGCACUUCCACAAAAGCACCCUCCCCACACACCCGAAGUCUCACUGGUCAAACACGUAGCAUUAGUCCAUCUCUAAACCAGUUGUAGAAAAAGCGAAUGGAACUCUCAAAAUUGGCUUGGGGUUAAUUAAUCAGAAUUUACCCCCUGGGUCAGCAUUCUCUUAGCACACAGCCACUUGGAGGAUAAACAAAGGAACAAAACAGGAUCUUGGCCAGCAAAAAGAAGGGGACAGGUUGAUGGCUUUCAGACAAGCAAAUAGUAGGGUCUGAUGGACAUGCACAUAGGUUGGAAUGUCAGCAGAAUCCCUGAUAUUUUUUAAAUGUCUAUUUUUCUCUUAUUAUUUUAGCUAGAAAUAUACACUCAAAUUCACAGAAGUAAAAUACACAGGUGAUGCCAGUACUCAGCCUUGCUUUCUAGUGCCAGCUCCUUGGUGAGGUGUCCAGAGUGACAUCACCACCUCCUCCCUCCACUGUGAACUCACAGCCCUGAUCAUUAGUACCACUUUUUGGGGCACUCAUUGGGGCCUGAGCAGGGAAAGCCCUUAAGUGUGUCUGGCUGACAGCACUGGCUCAUCAAUGAUGCCUGAGAGGGCCCUUAUCAACUAGCUUGUAAGCACUUGUGGGCAGGGACUUGGCCUGAUACCCAGUUAGCCUCCCCAGGUAUCAGUUAAAUGAGAAGUGUGAGUUUUGGGCAGCCAGGUUGGAGGGAUCAGAGCUUCAGAGUGGGGCAUGGGGUGAGAGUAGAGAGUGCUUCAAGGAGGAUGAGGGACGCUGGAGGAUAGGGUGUGGAGGUCAUUAGAAAGAGCACCACUGCUAGGCUAAUUCACUCUAGAUGCUAAAGAAAUAAACAAGCUGUCAUUGGUCCUGUCUUUCCAAGCCAGGCAAGGCCUGGUGGCCCUAGUCACUUGCCGGCAAACCCAGAUAUAGGGAACAUGUGGAGGUGUAGUCACCGGACAUAAAACAUCUGGGUGGUAGGACUCUGAGCACUUCGAGUGAUCUCUAUACCCAAUGUAGGGCUUGAACUUACAACCCCAAGAUCAAGAGUUGCCCACUCCACUGACUGAGCCAGCCAGGCUCCCUAAGGUCUCUGAGUACUUUGAAGACAGGGCUGUCCAUUCACCAGCCCCACCCAGGCCCACCUUACCCUCAAUCAGCCCAGUGAGGGCCGGCAUGUAGUGGGAGCUCAUUAAAUGUUCCCCAGGUUGAAUUGGAGUUGAAGGGGUCUGAAGCUGACUGAGCUGCUUUCUCAUCAGGAUAGGAAGCUCCUCUACAAUGUCCUCAGCCUCUAUGUGGUAAGGGAGGUUCCCUCUUUUCCUAGGCACCUUCCUUACCACCACCCAAGGUCAUGCUGAUUGGACAUCUGGAAUGUCUUAAGAAUCACUGAGCCACAAACAGAUUGGGGAAAAUAGAGCCCAGAUGAUGACCUACAUCGCCUGGCUUUAAGGAGAGAACAGAGGACACAGUAGAGUCCCCGAGUGCUAGGAGAUUGCCCCUCUUGUUUGUGGGGACUUUGGUGGAUGGAGCCUGCUCAGAGGCAGCCAAUCUUCCUAUCCAUCCUGGGUAUUCUCCUCAUCACACAUCUGCCUCAGCCCUCACCAGCCUACUGAUCCACACAUGGCCCUGGAACUUCGAGGAAGUCUAGGGUCCAGCCUUCCAUGUUUUCCAGAGAGAACUGAGACCUCAGACAGAAAAGAGUGGCCAGGAUCUCCCCGAAAGUCGCUGCUGAGCUGGAAUGAGAAAAGACAAGAUUGCCUGAUUUCCUAGACCAGGGUUCUUCCUGGGGCCCAAAUUGGGUCAACCCAUUUUACAGACAAAAGAUCAGCCCACUGUGAAAGCAUUUUGCCUGAUCACAAUGAAAAGAAUAGGGCUAGGGUCUGGGUCCCACCUCUCUCUUCUUCACCCAAGUCUCGGCACAGAGUGUUUUGGGAUGGAGACUCACUCAGAUAUUUCUCUUCUUGUAAUUGCCUUUGGUUAUCCUUGGGUUUUAAAAAUCUCACUUGGUUCUUGAAGGAGUUCUCAGAAGGGUGGUCAUUAAAACUUAGCGGAAUUUCAGAACAAUGAUUUGCCUUUAAACACUUGGCUUUGGGAAACCCCACCCAAGGAUAAGCUGAUGGGGCCUGCUUCCUCUAGAGGGAAAGCCCUGCCAGGGGCUGGAGGAGCAAGGCAGGAUGUGGCCUCAGCCCAGCCCAGCCCAGCCUGCUCCAGGUGGAAGCUCAUCCUUGAGCCUGAGCCCCAGCUUUCUCUUUCACGGGACAGAUGGAAGAGCCAGGCCCCGGGGCCUCCAGGAGCAAUGGUGGCAAGGGCAAUUUCCCCCCUCUUGGUUCCUCUCCCUGAGAAGAGCCCAUUGGGAAAGAAAAGGUCCACCUCUUGGAUGACAAGUUAUUUUCCUCAAACUCACCCAGAGGUCAGUGAACUCCUUUCCCCACCCGUACAUUCCUGGGGAAGGGACACCUCUCUGGGUGCUUCUCAGGGGCCGAUGUUCAGGUUGCUCAAAGAUGCACAAAGAAAAACCUCAGGGUCUUGUCAAGUGUGCCCUCCAUGGCUUUUUUUUUUUUUUAAUUUUUUAUUCUUAUGUUAAUCCCCAUACAUUACAUCAUUAGUUUUAGAUGUCGUGUUCUAUGAUUCAUUGUUUGUGCAUAACACCCAGUGCUCCAUGCAGAAUGUGCCCUCCUCAAUACCCACCACCAGGCUAACCCAUCCUCCCACCCCCCCCAUGGCUUCUUGACCCCAUUGCUGUCCCUCCAACAUGGACACAAUAAAACCAGUCAUGACAACGAAACUGUCCUGGAGAUGUACUGUGGGUCAAAGGCUUUACCUUUAUGUAUAACAUUGCAUUCAAUCUCAAAGAAUACAGGUACAUGAGGUAGGUACAAUACUAUCCCCACUUUACAGAUGAGGCUCAAAAGACUUAAAACUGAACUAUUAAGUGAUGGAACCAAUACUUAAACCAAGCGCUCUGACCUCAGAGGCUAUUUUCUUAACCAGUACACCUUAUUACCACCCAAAAUAUUAGUAUUUCUUUCAUUUUCAGAGAUAGGAGAACAGAAACCUUGAGGACAUAUUGAAAAAAAUCAAGAUUCACAGAAGGGAAAUUGUCUUCCCUGAAGUUUCAGUUCAAGCGCACAAUACAUAUAUCAAUAAAGUUUUUAUGGUGGGGCCCUGAGAAAAAUAUACAGCCAGGCACCAAACCCAAUCCCGUGCAAUUCAGCAAACAUUUGCUAAGGGUUUACAGAGCCUCUCUGGGGCAGCUAGGAUGGGCAGUUCUCCUUUCAUGCAGGAAGAGCUACAGGCUCAGUCCUGUGGGAUCCCACACAAUCUAAUUCUGCAGAGGGUGACCUGAGCCUCAGAACUUUUGGAAAAUGGAAGAGGAUUAAGACAGUGACAGUACCUAGGGCCUCUGAGUGUCACCUUGGGUUUUGACAGCCCACAAAAAAACCCUGGGAAAAACUUUGGGUGAUUGAAGAGGCAAUCAUACAUAGGAGAAGAGGUGAAGACUUAAGAGGUACCUGAAGCUGGAAAAUAGUUUGCUGAUUCCACCUGACUCUCUCCCUGCAAGCACAGGGUAAGAAGGAAUAACAACAACAAUAAUAGAAGUUAUCAGCUCUUGAGUGCUUAUUAUACGCUCUUCAUUGUGGUAUAUUUAACAUAUAUUAUCUCACUAACAGUCAAAAGCUCCAAGUGAAGGAGGCACUAUUUUUAUCCUCAUUUUCCAAAAUGCAAAAAGGAGUCUUGGAGAGGUAAAUAAUUUGCCCAAGAACCCAAAGAAGCAGACCUGGGAUUUGGAGAAGGCUCUCCAAGUUCAGUGCUCAUGCUCCAGUAUGCUAUUACUAAUCACCUACGCUAACCAAGAUGCCCUUGGUGAGAAGGGCAAGAAGGAACACCCCUCUUGAGACCAAGAAGGUAUGCACACACAUGUACGUGCCUGCCACAUGCAUAUUCUCAUAUGCAUACACACACAUGCAGACCCACAUAUGCACUCAUGUAUAACCCGUGCACAAACCCAUGUGUGCAUGUACACACGUGCAUGUCUGGGAAUGAAGCUGUAACAGUUUUUCAGCCAUCACUGUACACUGAGGAGUCUUGGACCUCUCUUUAAGGAGAAAAGAGCCUUUUUCUCUCACAGCAUCUGAGAGUGUGUUGAGAAACUGGGUGUUUCAUCUCCUGCUCUACUCUCAAAGGUGCAUUUUAAGCAUCCCUCAUAAUGUGAGGGGGAUAGCAAACUCCAGCUGCAUGAAAAGGAGAGCAAAAAAGCAUCAUGGUACGGUGCUUAAAAUGAAUUUUAUGAGACUCUGAGGCCCAAACCAAUUUUUAAAAUGGUUUGUUUUGGCUGGCCUGAACCAGUACUCAGAAAUUAAAGUCUUUUUAGGCAACCAUGCUACUUGCAACCAACUCAAGGGAUUGCUCACAAACAGGUUCCCUACUCAAAGGUUAGAGAACUAACAGCUUAAAAUCUGGUUUACUCUCAAAUUAAUCUGCAGAUGCUACCGUUCAGAGGGGCUUCUCCUCAAGUUCAAUAAGAGAUUCUGUUAUAUUCUCUAGAACAUCCUAAUUAUUACUUCUGCCAUCCUGAUUUUACUAGGCUGGAAAGAUCAUUUGAUUUUUAGUCCCUAAAUAAUGUGAUAUAAAAUUAAAUAAAAACCCAAGCCACCAUCUUGGAUUUAGUUUCCAUGCAGAGAUGUAUAUUAAUAAUUAAAACAGCCAGUGAUGGCUGGGGCAUAUUCAAGGUCUUUGGGCUCUUUGGAGGGUCAACCAUCCAACUGGUGUGCUCUGACUUCUCUCUCUUGGCUGUGAAAAGAGCACCAUUGGACUGACGGCACAGUGGAGCAUGGCCCUUAGAGACAUGAAGAAUCUGGUCUCUGCUAUGCCUUUCCCACCAGAUCCCUCAUCUCUAGCCCCACUGCAUGUGCACCAGUUCAGGCCCUCCAAGGUCCCCACAACUCAGAUCUGUCUUCCAUAUCAUCACCAUUGUUAUUUUUCACUCCCCACCCCAACCUCAUUCCUUGCAUUUCGGCUGUUUGCCAGGCCCUGUGCUUGGGCUGGAGAGACCCAAAUGGAAACACCUGAUCUGGGUCUGGCCCAGGGAGCUGGCCAUCUGGGAGGAGGAGGUUUUCUCUUUGGGCAAUCUGAUCACCAGCACCACUCCUUUCCUCACUGAAUGGGGCCUUCCCUGGCCAGGCAGCCAGGAUGUUACAUUUCCGCCCUGAGUUCUGGGCGUCCUGCCAGCAGAGCUUCCUCUCCUCCCCUUGGGGGGCUGUGGUGGUAUCAGAUGACCUGUGAGAGUUCACCCAGCCAUUCGAAAAACCCACUUAAAUCAAGUAGAAGUGCAUAGGAGAGAAUGUUUAUAAAAGAGUCCCCUGAAAAGUUCAGAAAGGUUCUUAGGGUGCUCAUCAGCCCAGAAGUUAGGAAUGGUGACCCUUCAGGCUUGUAGGCAUGCUUUGUUUGAUCUGCAAGGCAUUGUUGUUGUUUUAAUUUUUUUUUAAGUUUUGUUUAUUUAAGUCAUCUCUACCCUCAAUGUGUGGCUCGAACUCACAACCCCAAGAUUAAGAGUCUAAUGCUCUUUCCACUAAGUCAGGUACACCAACACUCUUGUUGUUUUAAAUGACUUAGUUAUCUGUAUUCAUUCAUUCAUUUUAAAGGUUUUAUUUUUAAGUAAUUUCUACACCCAGUGUGGGACUCAAGCUUACAACCCCGAGAUCAAGAGUCAUAUGCUCUACUGACUGAGCCAGCCAGGUGCCACUACUUAGUUGUCAAUAUUUAAAUACAUGAGAAUGUACAUGAACAUCCAAACAUCUAG